UGCAGACAUUCUGAAGGUACCACUGAUU
rnacentral:piRNA from 1 species